AGCAGCAGCCACGGGAAUACGAAGGGGGCUAGCGUUGUUCGGAAUUACUGGGCGUAAAGGGCGCGUAGGCGGCCAUUCAAGUUAGAUGUGAAAGCCCUGGGCUCAACCUAGGAAUUGCAUUUGAUACUGUUUGGCUUGAGUUCGGGAGAGGUGAGUGGAAUUCCCAGUGUAGAGGUGAAAUUCGUAGAUAUUGGGAAGAACACCGGUGGCGAAGGCGGCUCACUGGACCGACACUGACGCUGAUGCACGAAAGCUAGGGGAGCAAACAGGAUUAGAUACCCCCGUAGUCCCUGUCUCUUAUAC
rnacentral:rRNA from 1 species